UACGUAGGGGGCAAGCGUUGUCCGGAAUUAUUGGGCGUAAAGAGCGCGUAGGCGGUCCGAUAAGUCGGCUGUGAAAGUCAAGGGCUCAACCCUUGAAAGCCGGCCGAUACUGUCGGACUAGAGUCCGGAAGAGGCGAGUGGAAUUCCCGGUGUAGCGGUGAAAUGCGCAGAUAUCGGGAAGAACACCCAUGGCGAAGGCAGCUCUCUGGGACGGUACUGACGCUGAGACGCGAAAGCGUGGGGAGCGAACAGG
rnacentral:rRNA from 1 species